rnacentral:misc_RNA from 1 species
AGAAAACAAUAAUCAAAACCCAUAUCACAUAAAGCAUUAAUUAUCACAAGAACUUGCCAAUUUUUGUCAUUUGGGUUCUGAGCCUUUUCCAUGUUGUGUCGAUUCCUUUCUAUGGCUUGAUCGACUCAUUACUAGCACCAUGUCUGAAUCUGACCACUGAAGUAGCUCUUUGAAGUAGCUUGUUUGAAAAUGGCAGUGGAUGGAUGAUGGGUUCUGAUUGAUCUGGUUUUGUGAUUCAUUUUUAUGAAUCUUUGGUUUUUCGGACUAGUGCUCUUACCGCAACCCUCUACGGAGAAACAGAGUAAGCCCUAAAAAUCGACACUUGCUGCCCUUAACCUCAGCAUCAG